UACGGAGGGUGCAAGCGUUGUCCGGAUUUAUUGGGUUUAAAGGGUGCGUAGGCGGCUUUUUAAGUCAGUGGUGAAAUCCCUGAGCUUAACUUGGGAACUGCCAUUGAUACUAUUAGUCUUGGAUAUCGUGGAGGUAAGCGGAAUAUGUCAUGUAGCGGUGAAAUGCUUAGAUAUGACAUAGAACACCAAUUGCGAAGGCAGCUUGCUACACGGUCAUUGACACUGAGGCACGAAAGCGUGGGGAGCAAACAGG
rnacentral:rRNA from 1 species